rnacentral:rRNA from 1 species
CACGUAGGGUGCGAGCGUUGUCCGGAAUUAUUGGGCGUAAAGAGCUCGUAGGCGGUUCGUUAUGUCGGAUGUGAAAGCCCUUGGCUUAACCGAGGAAGUGCAUCCGAAACUGGCGAGCUAGAGUACGAAAGAGGAUCGCGGAAUUCCCGGUGUAGCGGUGAAAUGCGCAGAUAUCAGGAGGAACACCGGUGGCGAAGGCGGGUCUCUGGGCCGGAUACUGACGUGAGGAGCGAAAGCGUGGGGAGCGAACAGG